AUCUGACUUUAGAGGCUAGACUAGUGCUAAGAAGGCUAGCAUAUAAAAUAUAGAUCAGGACAUCAUGAGAAGACCAAUGAUCCUUCAGUGAGUUGGAGUUGGGCUAGACUAAUAAUUGAUGCUUGGUUGCAAGCUUCAAGUGAAACAACUUUGGUCCAAGAUGGAUAUAAGAAAAUGAAAUUGAACCCAGAUCAUUUUCAUGGGUUAGACAAAAUUUUGGCAUCAAAUAUACUCUUUGCGGCUUGUUGCUUGACGAGAUUUAGUGAUAGGUUAGGCGUGGACCUUUGCUCUCUAGACGAGGUAGAUAGAUUGAGGUUGAAGCAUUGCAUAAUAAAAAUCGUUGAAUAUUGGGAACU
rnacentral:lncRNA from 1 species